AAAGUUGAACCCAGUCUAUGGUUGAACCUUUAGCCAGGCAGAGAUCCAGCCUUCCCCCACUCCUAAUAGAAUAUCAAAACAGACAAAACGUCGGGAAUAAUAGCCUUAAGUUCUAUAAAGCAGGUGGUGAACAAGAAAUAUCAGUUAGGAUGCUCACUGCUAAGUGUAAGUAACUUACUGUAAGCUAACGUUAGCUAACAACUUGAUAGAGAGAGGCAUAACUGUGGGUUUGUCUGUCGUAUAGUGAUGAAAAAAACAUUUAAUGUAGUUACGUGUCAUUUUUGCUGGCAAGACAAGUGACCCAACCUGUCACCACCAUAAUACUUACUAAUACUAAUAUAUACUAUAUAUAUGGGUGUUUCAAUUACUUUGAAUGGGAAUGAUCUUUAGGUGUACUAGGGCGAUAUAUAUGGCUUUUCUUGACUUUAUUAAUUGAAAACACAUAGAAUACCGUUUCUGCAAUAAAAUAUAGUAAAAGAGCAAACUGAAGAGCUUUCAGCUGUGAGGGAGACCUCCACUAAACUCCAGUCCAGGUUUUUCGAGCAACACCUGCUAACCGAGAAAUUCAAUUAAGGACUCCUCUUCCCACUAGGAGCCGGUCUCCAGGGCAGAUCUUCCGGGCGACUCGCCCUGUAAGAAAUUAGAAAAUGCUACAAUAAAACCCGAAAAACUGAAAAUAAUGUGGCAACUUUAACAAUGAAAGCUCUCACGCUAUCCACCAUAAUCACACACGUCCCUUUAGUUGGAAGUCACCGAAAGACAGCGAAGUACCACAGAUCAUUCAUGGAAAGCCGUCUUCUAUAUUAAAGAUGCCACAGCUAGUACAACACAAGAGAUAUUUACUGAAGUUAGCAUGCUAACCAGCUAGCCUCAGCCCCAAUCUGGCAGCGUUGACUGGCAGGCUGCUGAGCAGGGUUCCUUUGCAGCUCAUCCAGGAUGGCACAUCAAUGCGAGCUGUGGCAAGAAGGUUUGCUGUGUCUGUCGGCGUAGUGUCCAGAGCACGGAGGUGCUACCAGGAGA